rnacentral:rRNA from 1 species
GACGAACGCUGGCGGCGUGCUUAACACAUGCAAGUCGAACGAUGACGACCGAGCUUGCUCGGUCUGAUUAGUGGCGAACGGGUGAGUAACACGUGAGCAACCUGCCCUUCACUCUGGGAUAACCUCGGGAAAUCGGGGCUAAUACCGGAUAUGAGCUCCUGUCGCAUGGCGGGUGUUGGAAAGUUUUUCGGUGAAGGAUGGGCUCGCGGCCUAUCAGUUUGUUGGUGGGGUAGUGGCUCACCAAGGCGAUGACGGGUAGCCGGCCUGAGAGGGCGACCGGCCACACUGGGACUGAGACACGGCCCAGACUCCUACGGGAGGCAGCAGUGGGGAAUAUUGCACAAUGGGCGAAAGCCUGAUGCAGCGACGCCGCGUGAGGGAUGACGGCCUUCGGGUUGUAAACCUCUUUCAGCAGGGAAGAAGCGAAAGUGACGGUACCUGCAGAAGAAGCGCCGGCUAACUACGUG